UACGUAGGGGGCAAGCGUUGUCCGGAUUUAUUGGGCGUAAAGAGCGUGUAGGCGGUUAGGUAGGUCCGUUGUGAAAACUCGAGGCUCAACCUCGAGACGCCGAUGGAAACCAUCUAACUAGAGUCCGGAAGAGGAGAGUGGAAUUCCUGGUGUAGCGGUGAAAUGCGCAGAUAUCAGGAAGAACACCCGUGGCUAAGGCGGCUCUCUAGUACGGUACUGACGCUGAGGCGCGAAAGCGUGGGGAGCAAACGGG
rnacentral:rRNA from 1 species